rnacentral:rRNA from 1 species
UAGGGAAUCUUCGGCAAUGGACGAAAGUCUAACCGAGCAACGCCGCGUGAGUGAAGAAGGUUUUCGGAUCGUAAAACUCUGUUGGUAGAGAAGAACGUUGGUGAGAGUGGAAAGCUCAUCAAGUGACGGUAACUACCCAGAAAGGGACGGCUAACUACGUGCCAG